rnacentral:rRNA from 1 species
CCUACGGGUGGCAGCAAUGGGGAAUAUUGCACAAUGGGGGAAACCCUGAUGCGGCGACGCCGCGUGAGUGAAGAAGUAUUUCGGUAUGUAAAGCUCUAUCAGCAGGGAAGAAAAUGAUGGUACCUGAUUAAGAAGCCCCGGCUAACUACGUGAGAGCAGCCGCGGUAAUACGUAGGGGGAGAGCGUUAUCCGGAUUUACUGGGGGUAAAGGGAGCGUAGACGGUGAUGAAAGUAAGAAGUGAAAGCCCGGGGCUCAACUCCGGGACUGCUUUUGAAACUGGGUGACUGGAGUGCAGGAGAGGUAAGCGGAAUUCCUGGUGUAGCGGUGAAAUGCGUAGAUAUCAGGAGGAACACCAGUGGCGAAGGCGGCUUACUGGACUGUAACUGACGUUGAGGCUCGAAAGCGUGGGGAGCAAACAGGAUUAGAUACCCUUGUAGUC